rnacentral:rRNA from 1 species
CCCGCACAAGCGGAGGAGCAUGUGGUUUAAUUCGAUGAUACGCGAGGAACCUUACCUGGGCUCGAACGUAAGAUGACUGUAGGUGAAAGCUUACAUCUCUUCGGAGCAUUUUACGAGGUGCUGCAUGGUUGUCGUCAGCUCGUGCCGUGAGGUGUCGGGUUAAGUCCCAUAACGAGCGCAACCCCUACCCUUAGUUGCCAUCAGGUUAAGCUGGGGACUCUAAAGGAACUGCCUACGCAAGUAGUGAGGAAGCGGGGAUGACGUCAAAUCAGCACGGCCCUUACGUCCAGGGCUACACACGUGCUACAAUGGCCGAUACAGAGGGCAGCUACCUGGUGACAGGAUGCAAAUCUCCAAAGUCGGUCUCAGUUCGGAUCGGAGUCUGCAACCCGACUCCGUGAAGUUGGAUUCGCUAGUAAUCGCGCAUCAGCCAUGGCGCGGUGAAUACGUUCCCGGGCCUU